UUAGCUUCUUUUUCAUCUCAUCUCUUACCACCGUCCGCUACCCACCGGAUUUCGCCAUUGGCGGCGGUAGAGCUCCAAACUCCACCAAAAAUCGACCAUACACUCCCCAUACUCCUCCAAACACUGGGCCGGUGUUGAUUUCCCCAAAAUCUUCACCCAUUUACCCCAAUUUCAAAUCUAAAAUAGAAAAAACCUAGUUCAUCUCCCUUUCAUAAUUUGAAACGGUUUUAGGGUUCGAUUUGAGUUGGAAUUUAUGCCAAUCAACUGUUCUCAAUGAGAACAAUUGAUUAGUAUCAAUUUUAGCUCAUUUCAAGGCCCGUCGUAUUUUGACUGAUUCAUCGGACUCCGGACAAACCUCGAAUCCCUUCACUGUUUAUCGAGUUGUUUCAAUUUGUCAAGUCACUCCGGCAUAAAUUGGUAUGUAGGCUGAACAUCUUUGGCUAUCGGUUGUGCAUGUGAAGCUGUGGACUGUCUGCCUCUUACUUCUAAAAUGGCAUAAUGAACACGUGGAGUGAUUGAUAUUAGCUGAUUUGGUUCUUGUUGUUUUACUCUAUUGCCCAUGUUCCAUUUAACUAAUUAGAAUUCAGUUGUGAAUGUAUACAGUAAUGUGGCCUAGUAGGAUCGAAAUGUUGUAGGAAAUUGUUCUGUUUAAAAUCUCAUUUGGACUAUAGGAUAUUAAAGGAUGUUGUACUGCAUGUUAUAAGGCCUUACACUGCAUGCUGAUAUUCUGGCAGGUUACAUUGUAUGUAUGAGUUUCCUCUUCUCGAGGAUUUAAUGCAAAGUUGUUGUUUAGGUUAA